AUGAAAUUGUCAUGUGAUUAGUCAUGUGACAAUUAUAUUAAAAAGGGGUCUUUAUCCUUUUGAAGCUUCAAGAAAAAUUAGAUAAGGAGAAGACAAAAGAUGAAGAGCAAGAGAAAGGGGCCAUUUCGGCCAAGACCAUGGAAAUUAGGUGCUUUAAAUUUUGUUCCAAAAAUUAUUUUCUUGUAGUAUUUCCACUAAUUCAAGGGUCCUCUACAACGUAGUAUAAUUGUUUCGGAAGAUAAGUCAUCCGUUUCAUUGUUUCCGCACUUUGGCCAAGUGAAGAAGUUGAAGAGAAAGGAUUUUGGGCGAAACGGGAAGUGAAUUUGGAAAGGCGUAAGGAGCGUAUAAGGUACUGACGACAGAUUCGCUGACCCGCCUGCCUAGGACAUCUAUUGUGCUAUUUUGGAGCGCUCUUUUGUCCAGAGCCUAUACCUUGGUACAGUCUGCUGCUGUUGUAUAUAUAUAUGCUAUUCAGGGGUACGACGGGGUCCUGUCCCGUCUUAUGAUUCUGUUAUGUUCUGUAGAGGUCUGUAGACAUGCAUGUGGGUUCUGUAUAUGUUUUGGGUUGUUAUGAUCUGUGAUGGCCUUAUCGGCUUCCACGUACAAAAUCUGUUCAUCUGUGAUAUUUAGUAGCACCAACUAACUUUCAUAUUGAUACCUACUGCUAAUAUGCUGGUUUGGGGUAUUGGGUACGUUUGGGUGUCCAGCACGGACACUAGUCGCGGCCUACGGGGUUGGGUCGUGACAAGGACCCUUGAAUUAGUGGAGAUACCACAAGAAAACAAUUUUUGGAACAAGAUUUCCCAUGGUCAAAUUUCCAUGGGGUUGGCCGAAACCCUCAAGCUUCACUCUCUUCAUCUUUUUUUUUUUUUUUUUUUGUUUUUCUUCUUUUGUCUUGGAUUAGAAGAUAAGCCCUUAUAUAUAUAUAUAUAUAUACUCAAGCAUGUGAGGGGCACAUGCCCCUCUCUAGAAAAUUCUUGCUUUUUCUUGAAAUUAAAAGAAGACUAAUGUCUUCUUAAGAAGUUUUGGCCCCUACCUUUUUAAAAU